GCAUUAGUCGUCGCCCCGAUAGCUCAGUUGGUAGAGCUCCUGUGUGUGGUGAGCGAAAGCGCCUAGCAAUAACUUUCAGGAGGCUGCAGGUUCGAAUCCUGCCCGGUGCCU